AAUCUGAUGCUGUAGGCAUCUAGUGCACAACUUAUUGAACCUCUCCCAAUAGUCGUAUAGGGAUUCUCCAGGGUACUGCUUAAUGCCGCAUAUCUCUUUUCUUAGACU